CAUCAAAAACCAAGUCUCUAAGCAAUGGAUGUCUUGGCUCCUCACACGAUGAAGAACGUGGCAUAAUGUGUUAAGUAACCGGAGUUGCAAACAUCAUGACAGGUUAAUCUUUGAAUGCAAAUUGCGCUAAACUCGAUCUCGGUCGAGAAGCAUGGGUGUGACAGUACUACAUCUUUUAUAAUAAUUCUUAUUCUAAGCGAAUAAGUAAAUAAUAUAUAAGACAAACAACACGUAGUCUGCCAUACGCAGGAAGACCCGCUGAACUGAAGCAUCUCAUUAAGCGGAGGAAAAGAAACUAACUAGGAUUCCCUUAGUAAAGGCGAUCGAAAAGGGAACAGCCCAACGUCUUAAUCCCGCAAGGGAAAUGUAGUCGGUUCACCUAUUGCACUGGUCUAAGUCAGAUGGAAUGCUGCGCGAUUCAGAGUAAAAGCCUCGUAUGACCAACCGCAAGCUUACGAUGGACCGGGGAGAGUCGGAUACUUUGAGAGUAGUGUCUUAAGGGGGUGGUAUGUCCCAUCCAAGGCUAAAAUAACGUGAGGAGACCGAUAGAUUACAAGUAGUGUGAACGAAAGAUGAAAAGAAC
rnacentral:ncRNA from 1 species